rnacentral:rRNA from 1 species
AUGAACGUUGGCCGGCGUGGAUUAUGGCAUGCAAGUCGUACGAGGCCAGCAAGGCCAAGUGGCGCAAGGGUGAGUAAGGCGACGGUAAACCAACCCCAUGGGUGGGUAUAGGCCGCGGGGAAAACUGCGGGUAAUCCCCAGCGAAGUGCGGGACCGGCAUCGGUCUUUCACCAAAGCUCAGGCGCCCGUGGGACGGGCCGUCGUGGUAUUAGGUUGUGUUGGCGGGGUAACGGCCCACCAAGCCUACGAUGCCUACCGGGCGUGCGAGCGUGGCCCGGCGCACUGGGACUGAGACACCUGCCCAGACUCCUACGGGAGGGCUGCAGUCGAGAAUCUUCGGCAAUGGGCGCAGCCUGACCGAGCGACGCCGCGUGGAGGACGAAAGGCCUUCGGGUUGUAAACUCCUGUCGAGGGUGAAGAAGCCGCAAGGUUGACUUGAUCCCUGGAGGAAGCACGGGCUAAGUUCGUGCCAGCAGCCGCGGUAAGACGAACCGUGCGAACGUUAUUCGGAAUCAUGGGCUUAAAGCGCGUGUAGGUGGAAAGGGACACGUCUGUCGCUGAAAUUCCCCCGGCUCACCGGCGGAACGGGCGCGGACUACGGGCUCUCCUCGAGGACAGUAGGGGGACCUGGAACUUCCGGUGGAGCGGUGAAAUGCGUUGAGAUCGGAAGGAACGCCGUGGCGAAAGCGAGGGUCCUGGACGUUUUCUGACACUGAGGACGCGAAAGCCAGGGGAGCGAACGGGAUUACGAUACCCCGGUAGUCCUGGCCGUAAAACGAAUGAGGCACUGGGUGGGGGCUCGCCGAUGGGCUCCCUGCCGUAGGAAACCGUGAAGUGCCCCGCCUGGGGAGUAUGGUCGCAAGGCUGAAUACUCAAAGGAAUUGACGGAGGGCCUCACACACAGCGGUGGAGUAUGUGGCUUAUUCGAGGCUCGUACGCGCAAAACCUUAUCCCAGGCUUGACAGCACGGAUUAGCCGGCGGAACCGUCGGUAAGGCCGCAAGGUACAACGUGCACAGGUGCUGCAUGGCUGUCGUCAGCUCGGCCGUGAGGUGUUGGGGUUAAGUCCACCUAACGAGCGAAACCCCUGUGUCUAGUUGCCAGCAGCGCUCAUGGCGGGAACUCUAGACAGACCCGCCGGGCGUUAAGGCCGGAGGAAGGCGGGGAGAUGACGUCAAGUCCUCAUGGCCCUUAUGCUUGGGGCUCGCACACGUUACAUACAAUGGGGCGGACAGAGCGUCGCAAGUUUACCGCAAGGACAAGGCUAAUCGCAAAAAACCGCUCCCCAGUUCGGAUUGUGGGCUGCAACCCGCCCCACAUGAAGCCGGAAUCGCUAGUAAUCGCGGAUCAGCAUGCCGCGGUGAACUGUGUUUCCUGAGAGCCUUGUACAACACACGCGCCCGUGCAAGCCACCAAAGCGGGGGGCAUCCGAAGUCGCCGGGAGCCGCAAGGCAGGCGCCGAAGAUGAAACCCGUGAUGGGGAAG